rnacentral:tRNA from 1 species
ACCUGUGGUAUAGUGGUUAGUACUCCACGUUGUGGCCGUGGCGACGCUGGUUCGAUUCCAGCAGCAGGCA